rnacentral:rRNA from 1 species
AUUGAACGCUGGCGGAAUGCUUUACACAUGCAAGUCGAACGGCAGCACGGGGCAACCUGGUGGCGAGUGGCGAACGGGUGAGUAAUACAUCGGAACGUGCCCAAUCGUGGGGGAUAACGUAGCGAAAGUUACGCUAAUACCGCAUACGAUCUACGGAUGAAAGCGGGGGAUCGCAAGACCUCGCGCGAGUGGAGCGGCCGAUGUCAGAUUAGGUAGUUGGUGGGGUAAAGGCUCACCAAGCCAACGAUCUGUAGCUGGUCUGAGAGGACGACCAGCCACACUGGAACUGAGACACGGUCCAGACUCCUACGGGAGGCAGCAGUGGGGAAUUUUGGACAAUGGGCGAAAGCCUGAUCCAGCCAUGCCGCGUGCAGGAAGAAGGCCUCGGUUGUAACUGCUUAGUCUAGGAAAAGGGUAGGCGAGGUUAAGUACCUCGUGCUUGAUGGUACUGGAAGAAUAAGACACCGGCUAACUACGUGCCAGCAGCCGCGGU